rnacentral:rRNA from 1 species
GACGAACGCUGGCGGCGUGCUUAACACAUGCAAGUCGAGCGGUAAGGCCCUUUCGGGGGUACACGAGCGGCGAACGGGUGAGUAACACGUGGGUGACCUGCCCUUAGCUCUGGGAUAAGCCUGGGAAGCUGGGUCUAAUACCGGAUAUGACUCCAUGACGCAUGUUGUGGGGUGGAAAGCCUUGUGCGGCUAGGGAUGGGCCCGCGGCCUAUCAGCUUGUUGGUGGGGUGAUGGCCACCAAGGCGACGACGGGUAGCCGGCCUGAGAGGGCGACCGGCCACACUGGGACUGAGACACGGCCCAGACUCCUACGGGAGGCAGCAGUGGGGAAUCUUGCGCAAUGGGCGAAAGCCUGACGCAGCGACGCCGCGUGUGGGAUGACGGCC